AUUCCUCCCCAAGAGCUAGUAAUAUAUGAAAACUUAGGUCAGGCACUGGGAAGAGGGCUCUUCCAGGUCAAUGUGCUGGGUUUAACCCUGCAGGGACUCAGCAAGUCCUGGGUGUAAACAGCACCAAAGGGAGGCCCAGACCCAGGGCCUGAGUCCUGCCCAGCUCCUAUCCCCAAAUCAGGGUGGGGCUCAGCUCAGGUGCUGGCUGAACAUUUGCAGAUAUCAAUUCCUGAGGAGAGGUUAGAUGUAGGUUCCCAGCUCCUGCCCCAACCUCCUGGGGUACUGGACUGCCAGCAGCUAUCCAGUGGAGCAAAAUGGGGAUAUUAGGUUAAAACAUGAGGGUCCUGCAUUGCAGCCUAGGGGUGAGGUGGGAGCAUCUGAAGGAGACCAUCUCGGCCCGGGUCUAGUGCCCACACUUCGGUCUAUAUAGGUCCUAUGGCCUCUUUGUCCCUGGAGUCACUUCAGGCAUAGCCUGGGCAUCGUCUCCCCCAUCGGUCUCAUAUGCCAGGGUGGACACAAGUGGGCAGGGCUGGACUGCAUCUGCGAGGUGAUGUCACCGCCCCCUGGUCCCCACUCGGGGCUCCGCCCGGGUCCCUCCCCUCCUGGCCUGGGAUGACAGGAGGAAGUGGAGAGGGUCAGCUCCCAUGACAGACGCAAGGAGACUGUUCACGGAUGGCUGCACGCAGAUAUACCCUGGUCCUUGACCCCGGUUCUCCUGGGCUUCUAUCGGAGGGCAAGGAACGUAACAUGGUUACCCAGAAGGGGGACAGGACUGUACAGCUGCACUUGCCAAGUACAGCUGGAUGCUUCAGAGCACAAGGACAAUAUCCAGUUCAGCACGGUGUAAGGCAUGGAUGCACAGGGAGAGAGGCCUUUGUCGGCGGUAAGUAGCAUUACGGAAAAAACUCCAAACCAGCAGGAUAGAAACAGUGCUCGACGCUCCAGUUUUUUAGAUAGUAAUCCCAAGAAUCCAGUUCAAAUCCCUAUAGUCAACAUGUAGGGAGGAAUUCAAUUUCUAGCAUUGUUUCUCCAGAUCUGAGCUGAGGCCAUUUGCUCCUGGCUUGGUAAUAAAAAAGAAAAUAGGUUUCUUCCUGUUUCUUUCUUGGCAUGGAAACACAGCUUCGAGAAGAGAAGGCCAUGAGUCCUGGGAGCACUAUGAAGGUAGCUAAACUCUUCCCAUACCCUAUAUAACUACAGUCGAUGACUGGGGAAAAGAGAGAGGACAGGGAACUUUACCUAGCCACUGGCAUCAGAAACAAAAAAGUAAAUUAAUUGUGAGGCUCUCCACUUCAGAAACACCCUGAAUUUAAAAAACAAAACUUUGAAAAAUUAAACAGUUAAAUCCCUCUUCUAAAAGUCAUUUAUUUACAUAUUAUAUGCCCAGUAUAUAAUGUGUAGAUAAAUGUAUCCUGCAGUGAAAGUGACCAACCUACUGGACUUAACAGCACAUUACAGGACAAACUGUUGAAGGAUUUCAUCUCACAUCGGUAUCUUUUAAUAAAAAAAAAAAUCUGGCCAGGGCUGCGAUGAAACAAACAGGAACACUUCAGAAUCCAAGGCAGAAGGAAGGCUGUUUGCCUCUUUAGAGAAUUGUAGGGGUGUGAAAAGGGAGAGACAGAUCAUGCACAAAAGUACUGACAAAUUACACA